UCCCGUUAAACACCAUCCUGUUUCAGUCUCUCUCCACCUAGCUGGCAAUGAAAGAAAAGAACUUGAACAGUGAGACAAUGGCAUGUUUAUCUCCGCAUCCUGUUAAACACCAUCCUGUUUCAGUCUCUCUCCACCUAGCUGGCAAUGAUGUGGCACGAUUACAUGGCAUUUCUCUCUUUCCACUCCCGUCUGCAUCUAUCCGCCCGACGACUGUGGUCUUUCUCCGCUUUUGACCGGAGGCGCUUCUUUAACGUCUGGAGUUUGGAAACAUUUUUUUUCCAUUGUGCAUCCUUCAUGGAGAAAGAAAAGAACUUGAACAGUGAGACAAUGGCAUGUCUAUCUCCACCACAUUCG
rnacentral:lncRNA from 1 species